rnacentral:tmRNA from 1 species
GGGGAUGACAGGCCUCGACGGAUUGUGUCUUGUCCGAGUGGCGAGCCGAGAUGCGACUCUCGUUAAAAAGCGCACCGCACAGAAGUGCGAAGCAGAUCAACUGGAAUGCUGUUCCUCUGGCGGCGUAAGCCGUUGAGGAGCGCAUCCGCGGCAUCGCGCCGCGGCGUUGUCCAUCUCCCCUCGCCGGCGGGAGGUGAGACGGCGUGAGAAAGCCGGCGCGCGCUCCACUGAGGUUCGUAGGUGGUUUCGCGCGUUAAAGUCACGAACAAGCGUUCGGAUGACCCUGUUGCCGGGGAUGCUGAACGCUCACCCAAACGGCAACUACGCUCGUAGGCACUCGCGGCAUGCACACUUCGGACCCGGGUUCGAUUCCCGGCAUCUCCACCU